rnacentral:rRNA from 1 species
GAUGAACGCUGGCGGCGUGCCUAACACAUGCAAGUCGAGCGUGAUUUAUGAGGACGAAACUUCGGCCUAGGAAUCAUAAUGAAAGCGGCGGACGGGUGAGUAACGCGUAGGCAACCUGCCCUUGACACAGGGAUAGCCUCGGGAAACCGGGAUUAAAACCUGAUAACGCCAAAGAGUCACAUGGCUCUUGGGCCAAAGAUUUAUCGGUCAAGGAUGGGCCUGCGUCUGAUUAGUUAGUUGGUGGGGUAACGGCCCACCAAGACGACGAUCAGUAGCCGACCUGAGAGGGUGAUCGGCCACAUUGGAACUGAGACACGGUCCAAACUCCUACGGGAGGCAGCAGUGGGGAAUAUUGCACAAUGGCGAAAGCCUGAUGCAGCAACGCCGCGUGAGCGAUGAAGGCCUUUGGGUCGUAAAGCUCUGUCCUUGGGGAAGAAACAAAUGACGGUACCCAAGGAGGAAGCCCCGGCUAACUACGUGCCAGCAGCCGCGGUAAAAC